rnacentral:rRNA from 1 species
AACGAACGCUGGCGGCAUGGCUAACACAUGCAAGUCGAACGAGAUCUUCGGGUCUAGUGGCGCACGGGUGCGUAACGCGUGGGAAUCUGCCCUUUGGUUCGGAAUAACAGUUGGAAACGACUGCUAAUACCGGAUGAUGACGAAAGUCCAAAGAUUUAUCGCCAGAGGAUGAGCCCGCGUAGGAUUAGCUAGUUGGUGUGGUAAAGGCGCACCAAGGCGACGAUCCUUAGCUGGUCUGAGAGGAUGAUCAGCCACACUGGGACUGAGACACGGCCCAGACUCCUACGGGAGGCAGCAGUGGGGAAUAUUGGACAAUGGGCGAAAGCCUGAUCCAGCAAUGCCGCGUGAGUGAUGAAGGCCUUAGGGUUGUAAAGCUCUUUUACCCGGGAUGAUGAUGACAGUACCGGGAGAAUAAGCUCCGGCUAACUCCGUGCCAGCCGCCGCUGUAA